CUCAGCUCCAGGUAUGCAGCCAGAUCGGAGGCAGACAAGGGAAACAGUAAAAAAAAAAUUCUGUUUCCAAGAAAUGAAAAUGAAACAUAAAGACCAUGUAUUCAGCUGUUGCGUCUGCUGCAUUUUGCCACAUUCCUAAUUGUUUACGUGUCAAGGCCGCGUUGGAACCCAUGUGACAGGACGUGUGUGUUUCUAACUGGUUCAAAGCCAAAAAGGAGAAGGAACAGACAGGAAAAACAAUGACUUAAAUAACAUCUGAGAUUUCCAAAUAUGGAGAAGCUUUGUAGUAUUUUUUCUGUGCGCUGCUAAAGCAUCUUGUUUUGUCAUGCAUAUCUUCCUCCAGACAUAAACAAUUUCCAGAAGCAAUAAUGGAUGCACAAAUGCAGUGUCGCUGUGUUUUGAUGUACGUGUUUGCCUGAAUAGAACAUUGUCAAACAAAAUAAAAAUGAACCAGCUGAAAGAAAAAGGCUAAAAAUAAAAAGUA